CCGUGCUAGAUGGGGAGGUAGCGGUGCCCUAUAACUCGCAAUCCGCUAUAGCGAGAUUGAAUUCCUGUCCUAGGUAUUGUCGAUGUAAGGCAGGUAUCUGAGCGCAGUGUUGACGGAUGGGUCCUUCGCAAGGAACACCUGUGAACCUGGUCAGGUCCGGAAGGAAGCAGCCAUAAGCAGUUUCGUUCUUGUGCCGAGGGAGUGCCUAUCCUGAGCUGUCGCUCAGAAGAACCGCUUGGAUCGCAAUUAUCGAAGACAGGUGCACGG
rfam:Paenibacillus bovis strain BD3526, complete genome.